UACGUAGGGAGCAAGCGUUGUCCGGAAUCAUUGGGCGUAAAGAGCUCGUAGGCGGUUUGCUCAGUCGGAUGUGAAACCUCCAGGCUCAACCUGGAGCCGCCAUUCGAUACUGGCAUGACUAGAGUCCGGUAGGGGCCCACGGAACUCCUGGUGUAGCGGUGAAAUGCGCAGAUAUCAGGAGGAACACCGGUGGCGAAGGCGGGUCUCUGGGCCGAUAUUGACGCUGAGGAGCGAAAGCGUGGGGAGCAAACAGG
rnacentral:rRNA from 1 species